ACAGGUGCUGCAUGGCUGUCGUCAGCUCGUGUCGUGAGAUGUUGGUUAAGUCCCGCAACGAGCGCAACCCUUGUCAUUAGUUGCCAUCAUUUGGUUGGGCACCCUAAUGAGACUGCCGGUGACAAACCGGAGGAAGGUGGGGAUGACGUCAAGUCCUUCAUGGCCCUUAUGGGUAGGGCUUCACACGUCAUACAAUGGUCGGUACAGAGGUUGCCAACCGCGAGGGGAGCUAAUCCCACAAAGCCGAUCGUAGUCCGGAUCGCAGUCUGCAACUCGACUGCGUGAAGUCGGAAUCGCUAGUAAUCGUGGAUCAGCAUGUCACGGUGAAUACGUUCCCGGGUCUU
rnacentral:rRNA from 1 species